AAUAUUGGACAAUGGGCGAAAGCCUGAUCCAGCCAUGCCGCGCGUGUGACGAAGGUCUUCGGAUUGUAAAGCACUUUAAGUUGGGAGGAAGAGUUGAAGGCUAAUACCUUGCAAUUUUGACGGUACCAACAGAAGAAGACCCGUCUAACUUCGUGUCAGCAGCCGCGGUAAUACGAAAGGUGAAAGCGUUAAUCGGAAUUACGGGGCGUAAAGCGCGCGUAGGUGGUUCGUUAAGUUGGAAGUGAAAGCCCCGGGCUUAACCUGGGAAUUGCUUUCAAAACUGACGAGCUAGAGUACGGUAGAGGGUAGUGGAAUUUCCUGUGUAGCGGUGAAAUGCGUAGAUAUAGGAAGGAACAUCAGUGGCGAAGGCGACCACCUGGGCUAAUACUGACACUGAGGUGCGAAAGCGUGGGGAGCAAACAGG
rnacentral:rRNA from 1 species